AUGAUAACAAUAUAUGAAUUAUUAGCCGAUUGCUUGCUGUUAUUACUUAUUCCACCGGUAAUGAUACAAAAACUAUAUAGUGCAAGAAAAAAAAAUAGAGAGUGCAAAUCAAAUCUUGGAGGCGUGGAUGAUCAACUAUACUCUUGCACCCAUUCUUGGCAAGUGGGACCUAUCUCAAGAACCCUUCAAGUUUAUAUCUGAAAGUCUGAAUCAGGACUUACUCCAAAUAUAACAGCAAACACUGUACAUCACCCAACUGUUGCAGAGAUGACGAUGAUGAUGCACUAAUUAACACUCAGGUGUUUGAGCAUGAUCUCUCUUUGGAUCCCUACAAUAGUUAUAAGCCAAGUAGUUCCUCUGAACCCAUUCCAUGGCGGAGUAUUGCUGCUGGCUGAGGCCACCAGAUGAGGAGGCCGAGGGUGACCGGCAGGUGGCAGGAGCAUUUGCAGUGCACCCACCAAUUUUGAAAUUUUGAUACCUACCAAUGAAGGGUUGGUACCUAUAAUCUGCUUUGUAUUUUCCAUCCUCAGUGGCCCACGAUGAUGCAUCCCAUAUUGAGCCAUACACCCACAUUGGCCUCAAUGGAAAUGUAGCAUCACUUUUUCUUGGAUACCUUCUAAUGGGAACAUCAUCUACGAAAAAUCUGCAGUCCGCAUCAUCAAAUAGUUUCAUAAAAAAGUGAAUGAAUCCUUCCAAAUUUCGGGUUCACGAGACAAAACAUUAUUUACAAGGUUUAUAACUUGAAAUUUUAUCUAAGUUAAAAGGUUUGCUCAUUAAAUCGAAAAUUCUUGUCUAAAUUCGAUUUAUCAUAAAAUUCUAAGACACAAAUAUAUAAAAUCCAUAUAUAUUGAAGAAAAUUUUUGUCUAAACUCAUUAAAUUAAAAAGAAAGUGCUACACUGAAUACCAAAAACAGUAAAAAGAGAUGCCACUAACAUGAUCUCACUGGGGGUCCAAAGAAUGCCAUAGUUAUGAAAAUCUUGUGUAGGAUCAAACCAAAGAUGAAAUUUCAUUUCUCUUCCAAUAAUUUUGCCAUCCCCACUUCCUCUGACAUAGACAUUUGUCUGCAAAGUAUAUGGCUUAUCUGGAAUUGUUCCUAGGAACUCAAUAUCAAUUUCAUCAUGGUUUCCAGGAUGUUCUUCAUUGUUAGAAAGCUGCAUGCCAUUAGUAAUUAAUUACCAAAUAAAUUCAAAGCUAGUUAGUCAAUUGUUGAACACAACUUAAUUAAUUAGCUCAAUAAUUGCUAUUGUAAAUUAAUGAAAUGCAAUUAAUUAAUCCUCACAUAGAAUGAUGUAAUGACUCCUGCAGUGUAACCAGGUUGAAGCUUGAUGGCUGCACCAAAAUAUCCUGACUGAUAUGGCUGAAGUGACUUAUACCCACUUCCUAUUUCCCAUUAAUGCAAUUGUACAGUAGCAAGUAAGAGCAUUAAUUAAUUAUUAUCUAAGAUAUAAUAUGAAAAAUAACAAAAAGGAAUUAACAUAUCAAUUAAGCUAGAGUGAUGAGUACCUGAGGAAGUAUCAAGCCAUAUUGUUAAUGUGCCUUGGUCUAGUCUUUGAUGCUGAGGACCCCAAAGGUUUUUAAAACCUUGAUCAAAUCCUAUAGUGCCAAUUCUGGAACUAGGGUAGUAGCCAGGUGAAGGUGGAUUUUGAGCACUACUGCUUGAAGGGAUCAUAAGAAUAAUGAGUAGAAGAUAAAGAAGAGAAGCCAUGAAGAUAGAUAGAAAUGGAAGGAUACUUGUAGUGAUGAUUAAUCGGAUAGAG
rnacentral:misc_RNA from 1 species